rnacentral:rRNA from 1 species
UGCUUUUUGGAUAUAUAAAAAGUAUUACCUGCCCUAUGAUAAUUUAAAUGGCCGCGGUAUACUGACUGUGCAAAGGUAGCAUAAUCAUUUGUUUUGUAAAUUAAAGCUUGUAUGAAUGGUAUAAUGAAAGUGUAACUGUCUUUUAUUUAUUUAUGGAAUUUGCUUUUUCAGUGCAGAAGCUGAAAGAUUUUAGAAAGACGAGAAGACCCUAAUGAGUUUUAUAUAAAAAUCAUUAUUUAUAUAAUGAUUUAUAUUUUAUUGGGGCAAUAAAAGAAUAAAUUUUCUUUUAGAAAAGUAAAAUGAUAAUUGUUGAACCAUUAUUAAUGAUUAUAAGUUUAAAUUACCAUAGGGAUAACAGCAUAAUCUUUUUUGAGAGUACAUAUCGACAAAAGGGAUUGUGACCUCGAUGUUGAAUUAAGAGAAUUAUAUAAUGAAGAAGUUAUAUGAAUAAGUCUGUUCGACUUUUAAAUUCUUACA